rnacentral:lncRNA from 1 species
GCUCACACUUUUCACUUUGAAGAGUCGCACUAUACUGUAGUGUAGCCAACGCAUAGUCCGUUCCAUUUCCAAAUUCAUUCAUUCAUCUCCAUAAACCCAAAACCCUAACAAUUCCAACCUCAUUCCGGUACGAAACUUUUCACUUUCAUCUUCAAUCUCAUUAUUACACAUUUCACUCACUCGAUUUCUCCAAUUCAACUUUCAUCAAACCCAUUUCUUACAUUGCAUGUUGUUAUUUUCUCAUUCUUCUUCAUUU